rnacentral:lncRNA from 1 species
AUUCUUUUUUUUUUUUUUCUUUCAGCCAUUUCUUUUUAUUUACAGUUUGUGUUCAAUGCAAAUCAAUUCCAUAAGAAGUUACUAUGAAUCAAAGCGUAAAUACACAAACACAAUAUACAAUCCAAAAUAGAUGUACAGCAUUCUGGAAUAAAGCAAAAGAGUGUUCAUUCACACACACAGUAGCUUCAAAACGGUUCGAUCUGUUUGUUCUCAUGUAGUUUUGUAAAGAUGGAAAAAAAGGACUUUGGUCAUCAAGACUACUGUGGCCAUAUUAGAUUACUGGAACAUCUAAGCAUCAGUGUGUGACCAUGCGAACAAAAGACUUCGGGGAGUGUCUAUUUUUAAAAAGGUUUCUGUGUUUCGAGGCAGUUGUAAAAGAUUUACUGCAGAAUCAAGCCCACUUUUAGGCUUAGGACCAGGUUCUAACUAUCUAAAAAUAUUGACUGAUAACAAAAAGUAUUCCAAAUGUGGCUAUUCUGAUCCAUAGUUGUUUUUUAAAGAAAAAAAAGUAUAUACAGAAAGAGUAUAAAAGUUUGUGAAUUUAAUGCAAAUUAGCUUCCAGUCUUCACUUCCCAAAUAUAAAUAGAAUCAUGGAAGCUUUUUAUAUUACCUGUUUUAUGGCCUUAUAGAAUUAAUGAACCAAAUGAAAACUGAAUCUCCAUUCCACAAUCACAUCCUUUAUUUCUAUUCUUAUUUUCAAGGUAGUAUUAAGUGUCCAUAUUUCUCAAGCCACAUUCAAGGAAAUCAUGUCUUAACUAUUUUGGAUGUUGCCUCUCCUUCAUCUUGUACAUGAAACUCCAGCAGAUUUAAUAUUGGCAUCCAUCAUCUAGUCAAACCUCUCACAUGUUCUUCAAAUCAAUCAAAUUUGGGAUUCUCAACAUUUUCUGUGUCAAUAAAAGGUGUGGAAUUAG